rnacentral:rRNA from 1 species
CCUACGGGUGGCAGCAGUGAGGAAUUUUGGACAAUGGGGGAAACCCUGAUCCAGCCAUGCCGCGUGAGUGAUGAAGGCCUUCGGGUUGUAAAGCUCUUUCAGAUGUGAGGCGGUAGCAUCAGAAGAAGCUCCGGCUAACUCCGUGCCAGCAGCCGCGGUAAUACGGAGGGAGCGAGCGUUGUUCGGAAUUACUGGGCGUAAAGCGUAUGUAGGCGGCUUCGUAAGACAGGUGUGAAAUCCCAGAGCUUAACUUUGGAACUGCACUUGUGACUGCAAGGCUUGAGUAUCGGAGAGGUUGGCGGAAUUCCCAGUGUAGCAGUGAAAUGCGCAGAUAUUGGGAGGAACACCGAUGGCGUAAGCAGCCAACUGAGAUUACUGACGCUGAGAUACGAAAGCGUGGGGAGCAAACAGGAUUAGAUACCCCAGUAGUC